ACUCCUACGGGAGGCAGCAGUGGGGAAUAUUGCACAAUGGGCGCAAGCCUGAUGCAGCCAUGCCGCGUGUGUGAAGAAGGCCUUCGGGUUGUAAAGCACUUUCAGUUGUGAGGAGGGUGGUGUCGUUAAUAGCGGCAUCAUUUGACGUUAGCAACAGAAGAAGCACCGGCUAACUCCGUGCCAGCAGCCGCGGUAAUACGGAGGGUGCGAGCGUUGUUCGGAAUUACUGGGCGUAAAGCGCACGUAGGCGGACUAUUAAGUUAGAGGUGAAAUCCCAGGGCUCAACCCUGGAACUGCCUUUAAUACUGGUAGUCUUGAGUUCGAGAGAGGUGAGUGGAAUUCCGAGUGUAGAGGUGAAAUUCGUAGAUAUUCGGAGGAACACCAGUGGCGAAGGCGGCUCACUGGCUCGAUACUGACGCUGAGGUGCGAAAGUGUGGGGAGCAAACAGGAUUAGAUACCCUGUAGGCUCU
rnacentral:rRNA from 1 species